AUUGAACGCUGGCGGCAGGCCUAACACAUGCAAGUCGAACGGUAACAGGAAGAAGCUUGCUUCUUUGCUGACGAGUGGCGGACGGGUGAGUAAUGUCUGGGAAACUGCCUGAUGGAGGGGGAUAACUACUGGAAACGGUAGCUAAUACCGCAUAAUGUCGCAAGACCAAAGAGGGGGACCUUCGGGCCUCUUGCCAUCGGAUGUGCCCAGAUGGGAUUAGCUAGUAGGUGGGGUAACGGCUCACCUAGGCGACGAUCCCUAGCUGGUCUGAGAGGAUGACCAGCCACACUGGAACUGAGACACGGUCCAGACUCCUACGGGAGGCAGCAGUGGGGAAUAUUGCACAAUGGGCGCAAGCCUGAUGCAGCUAUGCCGCGUGUAUGAAGAAGGCCUUCGGGUUGUAAAGUACUUUCAGCGGGGAGGAAGGGAGUAAAGUUAAUACCUUUGCUCAUUGACGUUACCCGCAGAAGAAGCACCGACUAACUCCGUG
rnacentral:rRNA from 1 species